UGUCUGCCAUUUUCUUUGUAAACAACUUCAAACCUCUUACACACAGACUGUCCUUCACCAAACCUCACAAGAAAUCACCUCACCAUAGCCCAUCGUAGAGAGGACAUUGCCACCACCACAACCGCAGAUCACAGUACGCUUUGUCUAUUUUGCAAACUACGGUAGAAACAGAGAUCAGCAAAGCGCAGAAACUUAUCAUGGAAAAAGAUGCAGAAUUACAUGUUGCAAAAGAAAGCCUUUUUGGAUUGGAGGAGGUGAGACACAACAGGUGGGAAAUUUUGACAUUAAGUUCUUGCAAUCUACGGGAGCAUUUGCAUAAAUAGGAUCCCUCGGAUCCAUGAGUUCACGUGGUACAUUGUACAAUGAGAUCCAAUCUGUACCAUCAGAUGUUGUCACUUGGUAAAAAUUUGCUUUUUAGUUUUCUACAUUGAUGUGGUGUGUUAUUAAUACUGCUUAUGAUAUAUAUGGUUUUUUAAUCUAACAUAUUGAUGUAUACAAAGAGAAGCAGGAGAAAUCACAUAUGACGAAUGGUAACAACAGCAGGAAGCAUGAUUUUCAUAGUGACAUUCAAGAUAAGGAUAUAGUUGAAUCUCUAGAAAAUGAGGUUCAAUAUUGGAUAGACUUUUCAAAUGUUCAGUAUCAUCCCUAGAGUCUAUGAAUUAAAUGGUUUUCGUAUGAUCCUCUAUUUUGUAUGGAAUUAUUAUUUUAUGUUGGAAUAUACUUAGUUUGUAUGGAAUUUGACAUUAAAAA